rnacentral:lncRNA from 1 species
UAGAUAAUGAGAUUUCUGUUGGCCAGAGCCAAUGGAACAAUAAUUAGUCUCUGCAUAGAAACCAGAGUUAAAUGAUGGAUUUGUUUUGGUCUUUUGGAAACUCAGUUUUAAAAUGUUGCUUUGCUAUUUCAGGACGUUAUUUAAAGAUACAGCUGGAAACCUUGACAAAAAUGCCAGGUUUUCUGCCGUCUACAGGCAAGACGGCAAUAAGCUAUCAAAUGACGACAUGCUCAAGUUACUUGCAGACUUUCGGAAAACACCAGUCAUACUGGAUCAGGGCCAACCAGAGUGACCUCAUCUAAUUAUUACAUCUUCAAAGACCCUGGUUCCAAAUAAGGUCCCACUCAUAGGUACUGAGGAUUAGGGUUUCACCCUAUCUUUUUGAAGGACACAUUUCAGUCUAUAACAGCGAGAAGAGAUAAAGUAAUGCUCUAAUGUCUCAUACAGCUGUAAGUGGGUGGAAGUCUGUAUGGCCUGAGGGUGUGUGGUUUUAACUACUGUGCACUGUAACAGCUCCAUCCUAAUGAGUUCA